rnacentral:rRNA from 1 species
UAAACGCUGGCGGCGUGCUUAACACAUGCAAGUCGAACGGAGUGGUUCUCCCGAGGAUUGAUGGUGCUUGCACCUGAUUGACUCAUUGAAUCACUUAGCGGCGGACGGGUGAGUAACGCGUGGGAAACCUGCCCUAUACUGGGGGAUAGCAGUUGGAAACGACUGAUAAUACCGCAUAAGCGCACAGCACCGCAUGGUGCAGUGUGAAAAACUCCGGUGGUAUAGGAUGGACCCGCGUCUGAUUAGCUAGUUGGUGAGGUAACGGCUCACCAAGGCGACGAUCAGUAGCCGACCUGAGAGGGUGACCGGCCACAUUGGGACUGAGACACGGCCCAAACUCCUACGGGAGGCAGCAGUGGGGAAUAUUGCACAAUGGGCGAAAGCCUGAUGCCAGCGACGCCGCGUGAACGAAGAAGUAUUUCGGUAUGUAAAGUUCUAUCAGCAGGGAAGAAAAAUGACGGUACCUGACUAAGAAGCUCCGGCUAAAUACGUGCCAGCCGCUGC